GACGAACGCUGGCGGCGUGCCUAAUACAUGCAAGUCGAACGCAGUGGGGACGGGUGAGUAACACGUGGGUAACCUCCCAUCAGAGGGGAUAACACUUGGAAACAGGUGCUAAACCGAUACUGAUGGAUGGACCCGGGGUGAAUUAGCUAGUUGGUGAGGUAACGGCUCACCAAGGCCACGAUGCAUAGCCGACCGGAGAGGUUGAUCGGCCAAACUGGGACUGAGACACGGCCCAGACUCCAAGGGGAGGCAGCAGUAGGGAAUCUUCGGAAAUGGACGAAAGUCUGACCGAGCAACGCCGCGGGAGUGAAGAGGGUUUUCGGAUCGAAAAACUCUGUUGUUAGAGAAGCGGUAUCUAACCAGAAAGCCACGGCUAACUACGUGCCAGCAGCCGCGGUAAUUC
rnacentral:rRNA from 1 species